rnacentral:tRNA from 1 species
GGAGAGAUGGCUCAGCGGUUAAGAACACUGGAUUGCUCUUCCAGGGGACCUGGGUUCAAUUCCCAGCACCC